rnacentral:lncRNA from 1 species
AAGAGGUGCACCACUCAAUGCAGUGUUUUGGAAAGAACCAAUAUGUUUGGAAUACUGGAAUUAUAAUAGAAAAAGUACUUUGAGUGCACUGAACAAAGGAAGUCCUUUUCCAACAUCUUGGUGUUGAUCCUUCUGCCUUUGCUGUAGUAAAUAACAUUUAUGCAGCCUUUUUGCUUAUUACCUUGUUAUUAGGAAAAAUACUUAAUGUACAGAUGAAUUUUACCACAAACAUAACUGACAUUCAAACCUGAUAUAAAGAUGAAUCAGACAAAUAACAGCAUUUACUUACAAAGUAUGGAUUUUUUUUUUUUUUUUUUAAUUUUAGUUCUCAUAGAAAGUACAAAUUCAGGUGCAUUGUACUGCAGCCAGUUUGGUGUGGAGGAAGCUGCACUGAAAGCACGAAAACCUUUCCAGAGGAAUUCCAAACCUGCAUGUCCCAGACCAUUAAGCUGUGAGGAAGACAUGCAAGUCAGAAAUGCAGUAAACAAUGAGCCAUCAACAGAGCAUUGGUUCAGGUUUGAAAGAGAACUGCAGAGUUCCAGUCAGAAAUAACAGAAGGAAGGAAAUAGAAGACUGUAGAAAGAGAAAGCAAGAAUAAAUUCAAAUAACAUAAUACUGAAAACA